GGAUGAGCCCGCGUCCCAUCAGCUAGUUGGUAGGGGUAAUGGCCUACCAAGGCUACGACGGGUAGCUGGUCUAAGAGGAUGGCCAGCCACACUGGAACUGAGACACGGUCCAGACUCCUACGGGAGGCAGCAGUGGGGAAUCUUGCGCAAUGGGCGAAAGCCUGACGCAGCGACGCCGCGUGGGUGACGAAGGCCUCGGUUGUAAAGCCCUGUGGGGUAGGAACGAACUGGCAUCGGGCGUAAUAUCCCGGUGUCUUGACGGUACUGCCUUAGCAAGCAUCGGCUAACUCUGUGCCAGCAGCCGCGGUAAGACAGAGGAUGCGAACGUUGCUCGGAUUUACUGGGCGUAAAGCGCGUGUAGGCGGUCUCGUUAGUCGGGUGUGAAAGCCCCGGGCUCAACCCGGGAAGUGCACCCGAUACUGCGAGACUGGGGUACUGAAGAGGAGAG
rnacentral:rRNA from 1 species